AAUCAAUCUCAACUAAUACUUUGUCUAUUAGUUGGAUCUGGAGGUCUGCCGUUGAUGUGUUCACGGCUCCUCCUAAAUAUAUUAGCUGCUUGGUCGUGAUACCGCUAGCUUGAUACUAUGUCUAUGCUUCGGUUGAUUGUUCCAGUGCUUAUAAUCGUCUUUUGACAGUAUUCUGAG
rnacentral:misc_RNA from 1 species